rnacentral:rRNA from 1 species
GAUGAACGCUGGCGGCGUGCUUAACACAUGCAAGUCGAACGAUGAAGCCCAGCUUGCUGGGUGGAUUAGUGGCGAACGGGUGAGUAACACGUGAGUAACCUGCCCUUAACUCUGGGAUAAGCCUGGGAAACUGGGUCUAAUACCGGAUAGGAGCGCCUACCGCAUGGUGGGUGUUGGAAAGAUUUAUCGGUUUUGGAUGGACUCGCGGCCUAUCAGCUUGUUGGUGAGGUAAUGGCUCACCAAGGCGACGACGGGUAGCCGGCCUGAGAGGGUGACCGGCCACACUGGGACUGAGACACGGCCCAGACUCCUACGGGAGGCAGCAGUGGGGAAUAUUGCACAAUGGGCGAAAGCCUGAUGCAGCGACGCCGCGUGAGGGAUGACGGCCUUCGGGUUGUAAACCUCUUUCAGUAGGGAAGAAGCGAAAGUGACGGUACCUGCAGAAGAAGCACCGGCUAACUACGUGCCAGCAGCCGCGGUAAUACGUAGGGUGCGAGCGUUAUCCGGAAUUAUUGGGCGUAAAGAGCUCGUAGGCGGUUUGUCGCGUCUGUCGUGAAAGUCCGGGGCUUAACCCCGGAUCUGCGGUGGGUACGGGCAGACUAGAGUGCAGUAGGGGAGACUGGAAUUCCUGGUGUAGCGGUGGAAUGCGCAGAUAUCAGGAGGAACACCGAUGGCGAAGGCAGGUCUCUGGGCUGUAACUGACGCUGAGGAGCGAAAGCAUGGGGAGCGAACAGGAUUAGAUACCCUGGUAGUCCAUGCCGUAAACGUUGGGCACUAGGUGUGGGGACCAUUCCACGGUUUCCGCGCCGCAGCUAACGCAUUAAGUGCCCCGCCUGGGGAGUACGGCCGCAAGGCUAAAACUCAAAGGAAUUGACGGGGCCCGCACAAGCGGCGGAGCAUGCGGAUUAAUUCGAUGCAACGCGAAGAACCUUACCAAGGCUUGACAUGUUCCCGAUCGCCGUAGAGAUACGGUUUCCCCUUUGGGGCGGGUUCACAGGUGGUGCAUGGUUGUCGUCAGCUCGUGUCGUGAGAUGUUGGGUUAAGUCCCGCAACGAGCGCAACCCUCGUUCCAUGUUGCCAGCACGUAAUGGUGGGGACUCAUGGGAGACUGCCGGGGUCAACUCGGAGGAAGGUGAGGACGACGUCAAAUCAUCAUGCCCCUUAUGUCUUGGGCUUCACGCAUGCUACAAUGGCCGGUACAAUGGGUUGCGAUACUGUGAGGUGGAGCUAAUCCCAAAAAGCCGGUCUCAGUUCGGAUUGGGGUCUGCAACUCGACCCCAUGAAGUCGGAGUCGCUAGUAAUCGCAGAUCAGCAACGCUGCGGUGAAUACGUUCCCGGGCCU